CUCUUAAUUAAAAAAUACAAGGAAACCCUGUUUUUGAUUAAUCUUGUAUUUAGGUUUUCGAAGCAGUGGCAGUAGCGAGCGCCAGAUGGUGUUGUCGUAACCCUUGUUUUUCCUCUGAUUAGUUGUUACCAGGUAACGCGUCACAGUUUAAAGGCCUUAAGCAUUAAGUAGGCCUUGCCUGCGCAUGGCUUUGCCAGGCUUUUGGUAUCAAGUCAAUGUAUGACUUUUUAAAAUGUGGAUUAAGUGUUGUGUUUUGUUUUGUAACAGCACAGACUACGAAGUAAAGACCGAUAUCCCCUAUCUCAUUGUGUAGGCGAUGCUCGGUCUUAACCGCUAGGGGCAUGGCGUAAGUAUUGGACAAAUUUUUCAGCUUUUUCACAUUUUAGUACUGAAUACGUGCUUCACACACACGUAUUAGCGGGAAUUGUAGUUAACUUUAUUCCAUCAAUUGUACACCUUCAUUUUCUAGAUCCAAUUCCGAUAUCCUGUGAAUUAUUUCAGAAUUUAAUUCAGAUUUUCGGGUGCGUUUCUUAAAAUUCUUAUUUACCCCAUCUUUUUCACCAUCUUUUGGUAGUAUACAGCUCAUCAUGAAACGCUGCAUUUCAGACAGCAUUUUUUUUUAUCGCUCUUAAAUGAGCGCGAAGUUCUGUUGUUACCGUUGCUACUCUGUUAUCUUUAUGUUGACAUUUAUCAAGAUCAAAUUCUUAUUAAGUUAAUAGUGUUUCGAAGCAUUCAAAUCUACUUAAAUCCUAACGAAUUACUAGCUUACAUUUUGAAAAGAAAUACGUAAAUGAAAAAAAUAAAAAACUUUUUCCAAACGCUGUUGCUACCAUAUUUGAAGUUGCUAAAAAUGCAACUGUGUUGUAUAAUCAGUCACACAACACAUUGCUCUGUUAUUUGAAUGGACAAUCAAGAUCUCAACAACUAGAGCCUGUCAACUCUCAUCAUACUCAUACUCCAACUACAUCCACUGCAAGAAACUUGAGUACACAGUCACCUAAAUCACCGCCUGUCCCCAUUUCUCAUCUUACUGAUUCGGAUUUGGGGCAAGGAUUGAGGAUGAAGGGCAUACAUUUGUUUCCCGUUACUAGUUUUGUAAAACAAAUGUGGGGAUUGAUUCCAAGUCUCCAGCUUCCCAGGUAGACACCCAUCAACAAAGCCAUGGGUGACAGAUGAUAUUCACAGCGGGCAUGACUGUGUUGUAAAUUUAUAUCACUUUUACAAAGCCAAUCAGCAGAUUUAGAUCACGUGUCUACUGUGAAAGAGAUCGUGUGCCUAAAAAAAUGGCUUUCUCCGUUUGCGACAUCAGACUUCCCCAGUGUGUCAAUCUGAUGCAGAGCCCUUGAAAUCAAGUUGAACGUUUUGAAACAUCUCAGGUCAAAGCUGAAGUUCUAGAUGUAUUAGAAAAGUCAUCGCUUUUUGGUUAGUAUCUUCGCCACCCGGUGCAUCAAUUGGAAUGAAGUUCACUUCCUCGACGUCAUUGCUCACGUAAUUUAAUAACUUAGUGCUUCGAAAAAAGUUGUACUUAUCUUCAAUUUCUAAAAGAAAAAUUUAAUGCAUUAUUCUUAUCUCGAGGUUAUAUCGAUCCGCAAGGGUAAAUCGAAAGAGGGUAUUCUUUUCCUUGACAUAAGAACGGAAAUUUAAGCAUUAGCAAGUCAUCCGCAUUCAAACAGAUCAAAUGCACGAGGUAUUCCGCCUCGUCCGGCAACUUACCAUCCAGCAACGCAUCCAUAAACAGAAUGUAUUAAAGAGGAAAGUAAUUGACCAAAUGUUGACUCAACGAUUUCCAUGCAAGAUGAAUGUUUAUAUAUCCAAGGAGGUCUGGUGAGCAGGAUGCAACGGACUAUAUCAUGUCAAACUAUUAGCUGAAUACAAGGAAUACCAUCAGUUCCCCAGAACGAGAGGAUAAUAAUCAUAAAGAGGCAACAAGUUAAACGAGAUUUUAAAAUGAUAACAGUUGGAAGCGCAUGUGGAAAUUUCGAAGAACGCUACCUAAACGUUACCUUUAGUCGCUGAUCCAUCUCGAAGAUAAAAUAAGUUAUUUUUAUAAAUUAAAGUGCAUAUCUGGGCUCCCUUCUUUUCUGUGGCCCCGUUUCCCCUUGACUUAUGAUAAGCCCGUAGGGGGUCAUGCCCCUACUGUGAUCAGCAGCAAAGGUUGUGAG